AAGACCUUAAGUUAAUUAAAACUAAAAGCCUUCAAAGCCUUAAAUGAAAACAAUUUUCAGGUCUUG
rnacentral:tRNA from 1 species